rnacentral:rRNA from 1 species
GGGUUGUGAGGUUAAGCGACUAAGCGUACACGGUGGAUGCCCUGGCAGUCAGAGGCGAUGAAGGACGUGCUAAUCUGCGAUAAGCGCCGGUAAGGUGAUAUGAACCGUUAUAACCGGCGAUUUCCGAAUGGGGAAACCCAGUGUGACUCGUCACACUAUCAUUAACUGAAUCCAUAGGUUAAUGAGGCGAACCGGGGGAACUGAAACAUCUAAGUACCCCGAGGAAAAGAAAUCAACCGAGAUUCCCCCAGUAGCGGCGAGCGAACGGGGAGGAGCCCAGAGCCUGAAUCAGCAUGUGUGUUAGUGGAAGCGUCUGGAAAGGCGCGCGAUACAGGGUGACAGCCCCGUACACAAAAGCGCAUGUGCUGUGAGCUCGAUGAGUAGGGCGGGACACGUGGUAUCCUGUCUGAAUAUGGGGGGACCAUCCUCCAAGGCUAAAUACUCCUGACUGACCGAUAGUGAACCAGUACCGUGAGGGAAAGGCGAAAAGAACCCCGGCGAGGGGAGUGAAAAAGAACCUGAAACCGUGUACGUACAAGCAGUGGGAGCCCCACCACUAAGCCAGUGGUGAAGUCCACAUACGCAUCCUUUGCUGAGGAUACGGUUAACGGAGCGAAAGCGACGUUCAACCGCAAAAAAAGAAGCAGAGGGGGCUUAGUGGUGGGGUGACUGCGUACCUUUUGUAUAAUGGGUCAGCGACUUAUAUUCUGUAGCAAGGUUAACCGAAUAGGGGAGCCGGAGGGAAACCGAGUCUUAAUUGGGCGUUAAGUUGCAGGGUAUAGACCCGAAACC